UCCUUACAAGAUGAAAGCAGGCAUCAGCGAGGAGGGGAACACUGGCAGGUUCAUCUUGUGUAAUAGGUUGGCUUGUCUGCUGUUCCUGAUGUGCUAAAACUGUGCUUUGGGGGAUUUUUAUGGAAGGCAGAGCUUAUUGCAACAGAAGUGUGAUACAGAAUUCCCUUUACUGUUAAAGAUAACAUUUAAUGAUGACAGAAGAUUAAAUGGCCU